rnacentral:tRNA from 1 species
GUUGUGGUUCAAUGGUAGAACACUUGCCUGGCAUGUAUGAGGCACCGGGUUUGAUUCUCAGCACCACA